GACGAACGCUGGCGGCGUGCUUAACACAUGCAAGUCGAACGGUGAAGCGCCUUCCUUUUUGGUGGGUGUGGAUGAGUGGCGAACGGGUGAGUAACACGUGAGUAACCUGCCCCCUUCUUCUGGAUAACCGCAUGAAAGUGUGGCUAAUACGGGAUAUUCUGGGUCUGUCGCAUGAUGGGUCUGGGAAAGAUAUUGUUUCGGUGGGGGAUGGGCUCGCGGCCUAUCAGCUUGUUGGUGGGGUGAUGGCCUACCAAGGCGGUGACGGGUAGCCGGCCUGGGAGGGUGGACGGUCACACUGGGACUGAGACACGGCCCAGACUCCUACGGGAGGUAGCAGUGGGGAAUAUUGCACAAUGGGCGCAAGCCUGAUGCAGCGACGCCGCGUGAGGGAUGGAGGCCUUCGGGUUGUGAACCUCUUUCGCCAGUGAAGCAGGCCUGCCUCGUUUGUGGGUGGGUUGACGGUAGCUGGAUAAGAAGCGCCGGCUAACUACGUG
rnacentral:rRNA from 1 species